rnacentral:rRNA from 1 species
GUGGCGGACGGGUGAGUAAUGCUUGGGAACUUGCCUUUGCGAGGGGGAUAACAGUUGGAAACGACUGCUAAUACCGCAUAAUGUCUACGGACCAAACGGGGCUUAGGCUCCGGCGCAAAGAGAGGCCCAAGUGAGAUUAGCUAGUUGGUGAGGUAAAGGCUUACCAAGGCGACGAUCUCUAGCUGUUCUGAGAGGAAGAUCAGCCACACUGGGACUGAGACACGGCCCAGACUCCUACGGGAGGCAGCAGUGGGGAAUAUUGCACAAUGGGGGAAACCCUGAUGCAGCCAUGCCGCGUGUGUGAAGAAGGCCUUCGGGUUGUAAAGCACUUUCAGUUGUGAGGAAAAGUUAGUAGUUAAUACCUGCUAGCCGUGACGUUAACAACAGAAGAAGCACCGGCUAACUCCGUGCCAGCAGCCGCGGUAAUACGGAGGGUGCGAGCGUUAAUCGGAAUUACUGGGCGUAAAGCGCACGCAGGCGGUUUGUUAAGCUAGAUGUGAAAGCCCCGGGCUCAACCUGGGAUGGUCAUUUAGAACUGGCAGACUAGAGUCUUGGAGAGGGGAGUGGAAUUCCAGGUGUAGCGGUGAAAUGCGUAGAUAUCUGGAGGAACAUCAGUGGCGAAGGCGACUCCCUGGCCAAAGACUGACGCUCAUGUGCGAAAGUGUGGGUAGCGAACAGGAUUAGAUACCCUGGUAGUCCACACCGUAAACGCUGUCUACUAGCUGUUUGUGACUUUAAGUCGUGAGUAGCGAAGCUAACGCGCUAAGUAGACCGCCUGGGGAGUACGG